rnacentral:rRNA from 1 species
CUACGGGCGGCAGCAGUGAGGAAUAUUGGGCAAUGGAGGAAACUCUGACCCAGCCAUGCCGCGUGCAGGAAGACGGCCCUAUGGGUUGUAAACUGCUUUUGUACGAGAAUAAACCUUUCCACGUGUGGAAAGCUGAAGGUACCGUACGAAUAAGGAUCGGCUAACUCCGUGCCAGCAGCCGCGGUAAUACGGAGGAUCCAAGCGUUAUCCGGAUUUAUUGGGUUUAAAGGGUCCGUAGGCGGGUUUUUAAGUCAGUGGUGAAAGCCUACAGCUUAACUGUAGAAUUGCCAUCGAUACUGGAGACCUUGAGUGUAGUAGAAGAAGGCGGAAUAAGGCAUGUAGCGGUGAAAUGCAUAGAUAUGCCUUAGAACACCGAUUGCGAAGGCAGCUUACUAUGUUACAACUGACGCUGAGGGACGAAAGCGUGGGGAGCGAACAGGAUUAGAUACCCUCGUAGUC